rnacentral:lncRNA from 1 species
GUAUUAACAAGUAUUUUAUUAUUAUUAAGAUACAAUUUAAGAAUCAAUCAAUGAUUUUGCUAUUGUAUCAGUUUACAAGAAGUUGUUUCCAGGAAGUUAAGUUAACAAGAAAGCUGAAACGAAAAUGAAAGUAGAGUAAAAAAUACCUGUCCAGAUAUAAAUAGCUAAGUCAGCACAGGUAUUUUGGAGUGGAAUUCCAACCCCCCUUUUUCCAAAUUAAAUAUGUUUUCCCUCCUUAGGACUGUUUCCGAAAAAUGUUUACGGAAAUUUACGUAUACAGGUUGUAUAAAAACUUUCAGCAUAAAGGUAAAGAAAAAGUAACAGUCAAAGAACCGACCACUGCAGGCGGGGUAAGAAAGACUUUUUUUUUUUUUUUAAAUAUUAUUACAUUUAAAAUUGGAAGUUAAUUUGAUUAAAGAUCAACACAAUGCAUUAGCCUUUCAAAAAGGGCUAUAGUCGACUCUUAGCUGAGGAAAAUGGAAAGUGCUCUCGCUUUG